UUUGUACGGCUGUUACAGGGGAUCGUGAAACAGCGUCGGAUACGGCCGUUGCAGGGAGUAGUGGAGCAGGGGGCCGCGGCGUGCCUCAGGGGAACAGUUUGUUGUUGUCAGAGAUUGCCGACUCGGGGUCGGAUUGCUGGAUCAAGGGGCAGCCGACUCGGGGUCGGGCUGCGGAGCCGAAGAUAUCCGACCCGAGGUCGGAUUGCUGGAUCAAGGGGCAGCCGUAGUCUUCCCGGGCGCGCGUGCCGGUCACGUGGGGCAUGGUGGCUAAGUUCCCCUGUAACAGUAGCCCCCCACUUCCGAGCCUGGAACCAGGAGGGGAACG
rnacentral:lncRNA from 1 species